rnacentral:lncRNA from 11 species
CAUUUUCAAACAGCCAGGAAAUUCAGCCUUGCAAAAGCAACCGUUUUUGGAAACUUUCAUUUGCUUGCUACAGAUGAGAAAAUAAAAGAGAAAGUACCAGUGAAAGGCCUUGACCUGGAUUGUUGAGAUUAAUUGUGGAGUGCAGUGAGUAAUGCAACAAACACAAUGGCUUGACAAUAGAAAUAUAAGAGCUUCAAGCCGGAAAUACUAACAAUAUAUUCAUCAUUUCCAGGACGUGCAUGGUAAAAUGGAAGAACUUUUGAGUGGAAUCCGAGGCCGGCCAUGUGUGGAGGGCCUUCUUCCUUGCCUUGCCAUCCUCCUCGGGGCCCUUUGUGGGAACCAAACCCAGCCCUUUUGGGGGAGAAGCGGCACCCAUUACGGAAACCUGGAGACAUUUAUGAGAGUUGCAAAACUUAUCCGAAAGCCAUAGGUCAGUGUUUUGAAUCUUAAGCUUUUUGCAUGACUGCCCCUUGUGUUUUUCAGUAUCAUUUUGUAUGUACAAAUCUAACAAAUUACAAACAAAAAACGAAUCACAACCAAAAUUUUACAUGACCCCAAUAUGCAUCAAGUGACUUACUGUGGUGACUCAUCCUCUCUCAACUGCAAUUUCCAGUUCUCUGGCUCAGUGUUACAACUCUGAAGGAAAACCAAGGUUUUGGAGCAAAGUCUAGCUUAAGUCUGCUUUGCAGAACUUCUUGCAAAAAUUGGAGGACAGAUAUCCGAGCGGAGGAGGAAAGAUGCAACAAAGUAGGGUAAAAUGUGCAAUACAAUUAUUAAUAUUUAAAAUUCCACGGAGUCUGUUCUUUUCCAUUAUUUGUUUGAUGUAGCAAUAUUAUGCACUCUUAUUAGAUGUCUUGGAAAAAAAUCAAGUCAUAUUUUAUGACGAGCAG